AGGUGAGUAGCUCAGUUGGUAGAGCAGCGGUCUCCAAAACCGCAGGCCGCAGGUUCGACCCCUGUCUCACCUGCCA
rnacentral:tRNA from 1 species